rnacentral:rRNA from 1 species
UACGGAGGGUGCGAGCGUUGUCCGGAUUUAUUGGGUUUAAAGGGUGCGUAGGUGGCCUAUUAAGCCAGUGGUGAAAUACAGCCGCUUAACGGUUGAGGUGCCAUUGAUACUGAUGGGCUUGAAAUAAUUGGAGGCUGCCGGAAUGGAUGGUGUAGCGGUGAAAUGCAUAGAUAUCAUCCAGAACACCGAUUGCGAAGGCAGGUGGCUACGAUUGGUUUGACACUGAGGCACGAAAGCAUGGGGAGCAAACAGG